CGGAAGUGCGAUAGGGGAAUCCCAAGUGCGAGGGCAUAUUAGCCCUCGCUUUUCUUGACUGUAAGGUGGUCGACGAAUAAGAGCUGGGCAAGACCGGUGCCAGCCGCCGCGGUAAUACCGGCAGCUCAAGUGAUGUCCCAUAUUAUUGGGCCUAAAGCGUCCGUAGCUGGCCGACCAAGUCUCUCGGGAAAUCCACCCGCCCAACGGGUGGGCGUCCGGUAGAAACUGGCCGGCUUGGAACCGGAAGGCUCAGAGAGUACGUCCGGGGUAGGAGUGAAAUCCCGUAAUCCCGGACGGACCACCGAUGGCGAAAGCACUUUGAGAAGACGGCUUCGACAGUGAGGGACGAAAGCUAGGGUCUCAAACCGGAUUAGAUACCCGGGUAGUCCGAGCCGUAAACGAUGCUCGUUAGGUGUGGCACCCACUACGAGUGGGUGCUGUGCCGUAGGGAAGCCGCUAAACGA
rnacentral:rRNA from 1 species